rnacentral:rRNA from 1 species
UACGUAGGGCGGCAAGCGUUAUCCGGAAUUAUUGGGCGUAAAGAGCGUGUAGGCGGCCAGAUAAGUCCGCUGUGAAAACUCGAGGCUCAACUUCGAGCUGUCGGUGGAACUGCUUGGCUAGAGUCCGGAAGAGGAGAGUGGAAUUCCUGGUGUAGCGGUGAAAUGCGCAGAUAUCAGGAAGAACACCUAUGGCGAAGGCAGCUCUCUGGGAACGGUACUGACGGCUGAGACGCGAAAGCUGGGGAGCGAA